rnacentral:lncRNA from 1 species
UAAAGACUUCAUAUGUAGAGGGGUGCCUAUUUGAAUCCCUGAGGGAAGUUUAGAGACUGUAAGCAGGCCAGGUUCCAGAGAACUGAAGGUUCCAGGAUCCGGAUACUCACUCAGGACAACAAUGCUUAACAUACAUCCAGCACCAGCAGUAGCCAGAGAAAAACACAGAGCCAUGUAGAGCUCAAAGCUGGGCACAAAGGCUGUGGCCAGCCCCACGAUGGCAAUCAGGAGCAGCUGCACCAGGAUACAGACUCUUCGACCAAUCCUGAGUGUUACAGCUCCAUGAGAGAGGAGAGGUCCAGAGCCAGUGCUCACUCCCACCACUGGCUGGCAGCCACAGGAGGUGUGAUGUCUCUGCCCUACGCAGGGGAUGAAACCCACUGAAGAAGAGAAUGUCUGCUGAAGGUGAAUAAAGGAACUAAGGUCUCACCCAGCUCUCUAGUCAAUCGGCAUCAUUUCAGUUGGGUGGGACAAGAAAUUACCAACCCAGGACUCAGCACAGAACUCGUACUUGCAUUAUCAGGCACAGUCUUUAAGGACCUUUAUAUGUGACAAAUACUUAUUAGUCCUAGAAAUGAAGCAAGGCAGGAUAGGAGACUUGACUGUUCUUCCACCCAGUUUUAUAUGGUUUGGUUUUCAUCUAGGAAUUACAGAAUGCCCUGUAAUAAGAUACCACAUAAAAUAAAUAAAAAUGAAAGUUUAGUUGCUACCAAACUUGAGUCAGAAUUUAGCAGGUUUCUGUGACUCAGAGAUUUUAACUGACCUAUGUCUUUCAAAAAAUCUGCUACACAGUGUUCCUCAAUGGGAUUAAAGGAAUUCACCCAUAUAACCACAUUAUCCAUGAGUCUUCAAUUCACCAGUAGUCGGUAGGGGCAUUCACUACCUCUCUGCAGCUCCUACCCUGUUUAUCAUGCACUCAUUCUAUCCCCAUGAACUCCAUUGUGUAGCAGCAUGGACUGCAGCUUGGAGACAUGUCAGGGUGCCCCAGCUCAUGAGGUGAUGUC